rnacentral:rRNA from 1 species
CGGUCCAGACUCCUACGGGAGGCAGCAGUAGGGAAUCUUCCGCAAUGGGCGAAAGCCUGACGGAGCAACGCCGCGUGAGUGAUGAAGGUCUUCGGAUCGUAAAACUCUGUUAUUAGGGAAGAACAAAUGUGUAAGUAACUGUGCACAUCUUGACGGUACCUAAUCAGAAAGCCACGGCUAACUACGUGCCAGCAGCCGCGGUAA